UUUUAGUUCUUUAUCUUCUAAUGAAAUCUGUGGGUCUGAGGUUUUUUUUUUCUGUUUGGGCACAUUCACAGGUGGAAGAUCUUCCUGGAACUUACUAGAUUCCCAGCUGAAUCCCCUGAAGCAUCGGUCUUGUAAUGUGACAUGAUGAGAGAUCUCAGAAAAGACUGCCUGACUUGUUUAUGUAAACCUGAUGACAGAACUUAGAUAAACAGGAAGUUGAGUUGCUGCAGAACCACAUGUAUUCCCAGGGACCCUGGAUUGUGAUUAUCCUCAUACUUCACUCAACACAAGUCAGUUGAAGGACAGGACAUGAUGGGAUUAUACUCACUGAAGGAAACACAGGGAAUGGUGAAGGAGAAAAUUUGGAGAAAGUUGAGAAAAGGACUUCCUAACUGAAGAAAACUCAGUGGGACUCCAUGAGUGAAAUAUAAUAUUCCCUUCUGUAAAUAUAACCUGAAGAUACACAAACUGGAUAAGGAGUACUAAGUUCCUGGUGACAUCAUCAUUAAAGCAUCUCUAGAGAGCGAGAAACCUUUUGGAUUUGACCUUGAUGUAAAAUAUAUGAAGUAAAUUUAUUUUCCGUUUGUUAUCUGUAUCAUUAUGUAGGUUUUUAAGUGUGCUGUUCUGAAUAUGCUCUAUUUGCCUUUAUGUUAUGACAUGAGAUUCAAGUGACUUCAAAUUAAUUGGUUAAUGCUAGUGCAUUAAUGUACAAUAUUCUUAUGGGGCACCAUGGUUUUGAAAUGCAGA
rnacentral:lncRNA from 1 species